CCUACGGGCGGCAGCAGUGGGGAAUAUUGGGCAAUGGAGGGAACUCUGACCCAGCAACGCAGCGUGAAUGAUGAAGGUCUUCGGAGUGGAAAGUUCUUUUCUAAGGGGAGUAAAACGUGACGGUACCUUAGGAAUAAGCCUCGGCUAACUACGUGCAAGCAGCCGCGGUAAUACGUAGGAGGCAAGCGUUAUCCGGAAUGACGGGGCGUAAAGGGUGCGUAGGUGGUUUGACAAGUUGGUAGCGUAACUCCGGGGCUCAACCUCGGCACUACUACCAAAACUGGCGGACUUGAGUGCAGGGGGGGCAAAUGGAAUUCCUAGUGUAGCGGUGGAAUGCGUAGAUAUGAGGAGGAACACCAGUGGCGAAGGCGAUUUGCUGGACUGUAACUGACACUGAGGCACGAAAGCGUGGGGAGCAAACAGGAUUAGAUACCCCGGUAGUC
rnacentral:rRNA from 1 species